rnacentral:lncRNA from 10 species
AGCCUAGACAAAUCUUCCUUACAGAUGAAUUUCAAAGGGGUGGAUUCUUUUCCCUCUAGUGGGUAAAGCUUACUUCCCCACUGCCUGGACUGCGGACUGGACACCCUUCCAAAGAAAGGCAGUAGGGAGGUAUAGAAAGGGUUAAAAAAAAUAAGAAAGAAAACAAAAAGUAACUUUACAGUGGAGAAACCUGGCAAACACCACCGUAACCAAGUGAUCAAAGUUAAUAUCAUCAGAGAAAAAACAAACAAACCAACAUUGAGCUUGAAUUGAAGAUCAGGUAUCAGCAAACACUUACACAAGGCUUUCUGGGCACCACCCACUGUUCUAAGCACUUAGCCUGUGUUUACUUAUUUCAUUCUUCCAACAGUCCUUCAAGGUAGAUGCUAUUAAUAUCCCAUUUUACAGAUUUGAACACCGAGGGGAGGGAGGUUACAUAACUGGCCAGAGCCGCCCUCUCCCCUCUCUGCCAUCAUGGACACUUCCCUAGAUAAGGUCUGAGAAGCACUGGUUCUGGGGAAACUGAGGCAACAUAACCUGCCCAUGGUCUCCAAAUGCCACCACAUCCCACACCCCAGGUAUCUAGAUAGUUUGCUGCUCUGUCC